rnacentral:lncRNA from 1 species
CCUGGUGACACACCUGAUUGUCCAACCUAGAUGUGCCCUGGCUUCUCAACAAUUGGCUGUGGCAAAUAAGACAAACUUUACAUGAACACCAAUAGAAUUCUAGUUGUUAUAAGUAUCACUAUCUGCAAGUAGGGAUGUGGUCAACAAGAAAAGCACCGCCACUGGAUCAAAAAGGUCUGGUUCACAAAAUCCUAUACAUCACCUGGAUGAUAGAAAAUAGCUUGCACGUGAUAAGCGGUUCACGACACAAGACAACAAUGAAAUGGGAAGAACCCUUGUGAACUGACCCAUCGCCCAAUCCAUACUACAACAGUGAAGGAGAGCACCAUAAGGAAACAGAAUGGAAAGAAUAAACCUUGGAGGAAUGACUUCAGGAUUUUGUGGGCAAGUUCAUGCAAGUUUUAAAAUCCUAUAUGGUCAUUCUGAUGUGGUGGUCCAUGAAAAUGUGUGUCACAACAAUUGUGUUAAUCUUGGAAGUAACACAAAUCUUUUGUAUACAUUGAUAGGACCGCUUUCACUCAGUGGUUUAUGUCAGCAUGGCAUUGAUCAAACUUUGCUGAGUUGA